CCCAGCUCUCCGGGCGUACAGUUAUCCAUUAACCCAAGCUAGCUCACCCUGUCUUUGCUGGCUGGGGUUUAAGUACCCCGUGGUUAUACUUAGCAGCGGUUCCCCAGCCUCUCUCCCUAACCUGCAUGUUUAUUUUCCGUAAGGCUCUUACGGGUUUAACCGCCUCCCUGGAAUCUGCAUUUGUCUAGCGGAUCUGGAUUCCCUCCCACUGGCGCCCGGCAGCCUCUGACAAGGAAUUGGCCCAUCAGUGACCCACCUGUUGGACUAGUUAAAAAAACAAAUCCCCUCACAUGGACAUCUCUGACUGCAUCUGAAAGUGUAUUCACACCUCCACAUUCACUGCCUCCCAUAUCCUUACUUGCUGCAGAGUGCUAGAGGAAGAGUCAACCUCACCUGUGGGGCCUUAUUCAGCAGAGAAAUGCGGACAGGCAACUGUGCGUGCACGUGUGUGACCACCAGCUUCAAAGAGGCAAUAUGGAUCUAUCCACAUUCAUCCUGCUGUAGGAUCAGUUCUUGGUCAUUUAUUUUAUUUAGCUGUUCUUGCAAAAAAACUGAGGCUUGGCUGCUUUAUAUUAUGUUUAAAAGAAUGUGAGGGAUAAGGAGGAAAAAUGAUGCAAUCAUCAGAAAAUUAUACGAAACAGCAAUAAAAUUUUACUAGUCUAAUGAAAAGGAGAGAUGGAAUACAAACCUACAACAAACAUUUUUAUCACAUGGCUAUAUUUUGUUUAAUAAGAGAAGUUAUUCUUAAGUGAAUGAAUGAUUCAAAUGGAAAAAUAUGUUCUAAAUGUUCAUCAUCUCUGUAGGAGAGUGUUGUUUCAACAUGCACAUUGUGGUUUGAGAGAGAACAGUUUGGCUUUGUAACGAAGAUACGAGCUUUAGUGGUAAGAAAAGGCUGCAUUACUUUAAAAAUCAGUCAAGGCUCCAGAAAUAAAACUUUAUUUAAUGGAAAAA